GCCAACGAUCAUACCACGUUGAAUACACCAGUUCCCUUCAGAUCAUUGAAGUUAAGCAACGUCGGGCGUGGUCAGUACUUGGAUGGGUGACCGCUUGGGAACACCACGUAUCGUUGGCUCUU
rnacentral:rRNA from 1 species